AGUGAACGCUGGCGGUAGGCCUAACACAUGCAAGUCGAACGGCAGCACAGUAAGAGCUUGCUCUUACGGGUGGCGAGUGGCGGACGGGUGAGGAAUACAUCGGAAUCUACUUUUUCGUUGGGGAUAACGUAGGGAAACUUACGCUAAUACCGCAUACGACCUACGGGUGAAAGCAGGGGAUCUUCGGACCUUGCUCGAUUGAAUGAGCCGAUGUCGGAUUAGCUAGUUGGCGGGGUAAAGGCCCACCAAGGCGACGAUCCGUAGCUGGUCUGAGAGGAUGAUCAGCCACACUGGAACUGAGACACGGUCCAGACUCCUACGGGAGGCAGCAGUGGGGAAUAUUGGACAAUGGGCGCAAGCCUGAUCCAGCCGUACCGCGUGGGUGAAGAAGGCCUUCGGGUUGUAAAGCCCUUUUGUUGGGAAAGAAAAGCAGCAGGUUAAUACCCCGCUGUUCUGACGGUACCCAAAGAAUAAGCACCGGCUAACUUCGUG
rnacentral:rRNA from 1 species